CUGAGUGUUGACAUUGAGUGCUUCAGAUCUGGUCACUAUGGUACGAGAACGAAAAUGCAUAUUGUGCCACAUCGUGUAUGGCUCAAAAAAGGAGAUGGAUGAACACAUGCGAAGCAUGUUGCAUCACAGGGAACUUGAGAACCUGAAGGGCAGGGACAUUAGUCAUGAGUGCCGAGUGUGCCGGGUCACAGAAGUGGGUCUCUCUGCAUAUGCAAAGCACAUUUCUGGCCAGUUGCACAAAGAUAAUGUUGAUGCCCAGGAAAGAGAAGAUGAUGGAAAGGAAGAGGAAGAGGAAGAUUAUUUUGAUAAGGAACUUGUUCAGUUAAUACAAGAAAGAAAAGAACAAAGUCGACAAGAUGAACCUCCCAGUAACAGCCAAGAAGUAAACUCAGAUGACAGGCAGCCCCAGUGGAGACGAGAAGACCAAAUCACUUACCAAGACAGAGAGAGCUAUAGUCAGCCACCUAGACACCAUCGUGGACCCCCACAGAGAGACUGGAAAUGGGAAAAGGAUGGCUUUAAUAGUACUAGAAAAAACAGCUUUCCACAUUCUUUGAGGAAUAGUGGUGGACCAAGAGGAAGUUCUGUCUGGCAUAAAGGUGCUACAAGAGGCUCUUCAACUUGGUUCCUUAAUCAUACUUCAGAAGGCCUACUUGAGUUCAAUUUUGAACAGCGAGAAAGUCAAACCACUAAACAAACAGACACGGCAGCCUCAAAAAUUAAUGGAAAAAAUGGCACCAAAGCAAGGGACAAGUUCUGCCGCUGGACACCUUACCCUUCCCAGAAGACUCUAGAUUUACAGUCAGCCCUGAAAGAAGUCAUUGGCAGCAAGUCAGACACACUAGAGAAGCCUCUCUUUAAUUUUAGCUUAAUAACUGCAGGACUGCGCAAACCAGUUGAUAAAACAAGUAAUCCUCCAAUGCUAAAAACACAAAAGGAAGGACCUCCUGGAUCUCCCAGUCACAAAGCCAUUUCUGAUGGCACUGCUUUCUGUGAGGCGGCAAGAGCUUGCCCCAUUACUGAGCAAUCUGAGCCACAUCAGAAGUCACAUAAGGUUCCAUUACUGAAAUCCCCACUCCUUCCACUUCCAACCCCUAAAUUAGGUCCUCAUAAGCAUAAUUUAAAGAACUGCUCAAAAAAUAAUGAGACAAAGUCCUUUCCUUCUGGAGAUCACUCACAUCCCCUGAACACGUCUACUCUAGAAGGUAGCCUUGGUUCUUCCUACACAUCCAAAUCACACAGUUUAUGUCCUCGUGUUUUAAAGGAGAAUAAAACUGUAUUAGGCACUCAAAAAGAACCUAAUGAGAAGUUAAAUAGCACAUCACAGAAAGCCCAAGAAACAGUGCUACAGUGUCCCAAAACACUGCAGAAUCCACUCCCUACCACACCCAAAAGGACGGAGAAUGAUGCAAAAGAAAGUAGUGUAGAAGAGUCUGCCAAAGAGUCUGUGAGCAUCGAGUCUCAGCCACACUCAGCUGGAAACAGUGCCACCACAUCUGAUGCAGAAAACGAUGGCAUAAAAAGUGAAGGUGUAGCUUCACUGACCACAGAGGUUGUGUCCUGCAGCACUCACACCGUGGAUAAGGAACAAGAGAGCCAGAUCCUAGGAACACCCAAGAACCUGUCCGCCUCCCCACAUAAUUCCACAGUUCACCAGAAAGAAGCUGAGUUACAAGUGUCAGCAGCGACCAGUCCACACUCUGGCUUACUGCUAGACUUGAAGCCCUCUCUAGAAGAUACACAGGAUAACAUCCUUGUUAAAUCUGAAGGACCUUUUGAAACUGAGAGCUUUGAGGACACUAGCCUGGAUGCAGAGCUUCAAAAAACUGAUCUCAAUAAUCAGCCCCCAGGCACGCUUCUUCCCUAACUAAGUAAACUUGGUUUUCCCGCCUCGCUCCAGAGAGAUCUAAGCCGGCAUAUCAGUUUGAAGUCCAAAACAGGAACAUAUCUCCCAGAGCCAAACCUCAAUAGCGCUCGACGAAUUCGCAAUGUUAGUGGCCAUAGAAAGAAUGAAACAGAAAAGGAAUCUGGGCUUAAGCCAACCCUACGACAGAUUCUAAAUGCAUCAAGGAGAAAUGUUAACUGGGAACAGGUCAUUCAGCAAGUAACCAAGAAAAAGCAAGAGCUGGGCAAAGGCUUACCCAGGUGUGUGCCUCUCAUACCUGUCCUUGGUUUCUUUUAAAGGUUACCACACUUUGGCCUUGAUUAAACGCAAGUUCUUGUUCAACUUA